UACGGAGGGUGCAAGCGUUGUUCGGAAUUACUGGGCGUAAAGCGCGUGUAGGCGGCCUGGUAAGUCGGAUGUGAAAGCCCUCGGCUUAACCGGGGAAGUGCAUCUGAAACUGCCUGGCUUGAGUACGGGAGAGGGAGGCGGAAUUCCCAGUGUAGAGGUGAAAUUCGUAGAUAUUGGGAGGAACACCGGUGGCGAAAGCGGCCUCCUGGACCGAUACUGACGCUGAGACGCGAAAGCGUGGGGAGCAAACAGG
rnacentral:rRNA from 1 species